GAGGUCAGAAGCUCGACACCGGUCUGGCUAACAUAGUGAAACCUCGUCUCUACUGAAAAUACAAAAAAUUAGCCGAGUGUGGUGGUGUGCGCCUGUAAUCCCAGCUAGUUGGGAGACUGAGGCAGGAGAAUCGCGUGAACCCAGGAGGCGGAGAUUGCUGUAAGACGAGAUCACGCCAUUGCACUCCAGCCUGGGGAACAGUGCGAGGCUCCAUCUCAAAAAAAAAAAAAAAAAAGCAUUCAACAUCAUGAGUCAUCAAAUAAAUGCAAAUUUAAACCACAAAAUAACAUUUCAUUCCAACAGGAUUGGUACAUUUUUUUAGAAACUUACAAUACCAGGUCUGGCAACAAUAUGGACUAACUAACUAAAGCUCCAUACUGCUGGCCUGAGUAUAAAUUGGUAACAUUUAUUUAUUUUUUUACUUUUAUUUUAUUCUAUUUUAACAGUCUCAUUCUGCCGCCCAGCCUGGACUGCAGUGGCACAAUCUUGGCUCACCUCAACUCUGCCUCCCAGGUUCAAGUGAUUCUCCUGCCUCGGCCUCCUGAGAAGCUAGAAUUACAGGUGCACGCCACUACGACUGGCUAAUUUUUGUAUUUUUAGUAGAAACCGGGUUUCACCAUGUUAGCUAGGUCAGCCAAUUGGUAAAAUUAACUUAGAAAACAGUUUUAUAUUAGCCAUUAAAGUUGAACAUAUACUUACUAUGGCCCAUCAAUUUCACUCCCAGGUAUACCGUGGUUCUUAAAUUUCAGCAUGCAUUAGAAUCACCUGGAGGGAUUGUUAAAGUCAGAGAGUCACUGUUAGAGGUCACUACACUACACAGACUCAUUAUUUUG
rnacentral:lncRNA from 10 species